AUUGAACGCUGGCGGCAUGCCUUACACAUGCAAGUCGAACGGUAACAGGUCUUCGGAUGCUGACGAGUGGCGAACGGGUGAGUAAUAUAUCGGAACGUGCCCAGUCGUGGGGGAUAACGCAGCGAAAGCUGUGCUAAUACCGCAUACGAUCUAUGGAUGAAAGCGGGGGAUCGCAAGACCUCGCGCGAUUGGAGCGGCCGAUAUCAGAUUAGGUAAUUGGUGGGGUAAAGGCCCACCAAGCCAACGAUCUGUAGCUGGUCUGAGAGGACGACCAGCCACACUGGAACUGAGACACGGUCCAGACUCCUACGGGAGGCAGCAGUGGGGAAUCUUGGACAAUGGGCGAAAGCCUGAUCCAGCGACGCCGCGUGGAGGAAGAAGUCCUUCGGGAUGUAAACUUCUGAACUAGCCGAAUAAAAGGCCUGUGGACACACAGGAGAAGAAAGUAGGCUAGGAAAAGUCCCGGCUAACUACGUG
rnacentral:rRNA from 1 species